GAAUCAGUCCGCAUUUCAGAAUAUAGUCCCACCAAUAAACCAAGCAAGUGCUCUACGUGGAGGUGCACCUGAUCUUUCACCUGGAAUUAGUCCAAGAAAUUAUGCCAUGUCACCUGGAAGUUAUGGAUCCGCUUACCCUGCUGUUCCAGGGAUUCAGUAUUCCAUGCCAUAUCCUGGAGGUGUUAUGAAUACCAGACCACCAAGUGGUUCUCCUGGUUCAAUUCCCCCUAGUACGACCAACAGUCAUUCUGCAGCAUCUUCAAGUGUCAGUUCAAGUACAGGGGGUCAGGUUGAAGGUCCACCUGGUGCUAAUCUAUUUAUUUACCAUAUUCCUCAAGAAUUUGGUGAUCAAGAGCUUGCAAAUGCAUUUCAGCCUUUUGGUAGGGUUUUGAGUGCCAAGGUUUUCGUUGACAAAGC
rnacentral:misc_RNA from 1 species